rnacentral:rRNA from 1 species
AGCGAACGCUGGCGGCAGGCUUAACACAUGCAAGUCGAGCGGGCAUCUUCGGAUGUCAGCGGCAGACGGGCGAGUAACACGUGGGAACGUACCCUUCGGUUCGGAACAACUCUGGGAAACUGGAGCUAAUACCGGAUACGCCCUUAUGGGGAAAGGUUUACUGCCGAAGGAUCGGCCCGCGUCUGAUUAGCUAGUUGGUGGGGUAACGGCCUACCAAGGCGACGAUCAGUAGCUGGUCUGAGAGGAUGAUCAGCCACACUGGGACUGAGACACGGCCCAGACUCCUACGGGAGGCAGCAGUGGGGAAUAUUGGACAAUGGGCGCAAGCCUGAUCCAGCCAUGCCGCGUGAGUGAUGAAGGCCUUAGGGUUGUAAAGCUCUUUUGUCCGGGACGAUAAUGACGGUACCGGAAGAAUAAGCCCCGGCUAACUUCGUG